UUGGAGGGCAAGUCUGGUGCCAGCAGCCGCGGUAAUUCCAGCUCCAAUAGCGUAUAUUAAAGUUGUUGCAGUUAAAAAGCUCGUAGUUGAAUUUCGGGAUCAAUUUGUUGGUCGUGCCUCGGUACGUACUGGCAUUAUUGGUUUCUACCUUCUGAAGAACCUUGAUGUCAUUAAUUUGGUGUCUUGGGGAAUCAGGACUGUUACUUUGAAAAAAUUAGAGUGUUUAAAGCAGGCAUACGCUUGAAUACAUUAGCAUGGAAUAAUGAAAUAGGACGUUUGAUUCUAUUUUGUUGGUUUCUAGGAUCGACGUAAUGAUUAAUAGGGAUAGUUGGGGGCAUUAGUAUUCAAUUGUCAGAGGUGAAAUACCUGGAUUUAUUGAAGACUAACUACUGCGAAAGCAUUUGCCAAGGAUGUUUUCAUUAAUCAAGAACGAAAGUUAGGGGAUCGAAGACGAUCAGAUACCGUCGUAGUCUUAACCAUAAACUAUGCCGACUAGGGAUCGGAUGAUGUUAUUUUUAAUGACUCAUUCGGCGCCUUACGGGAAACCAAAGUGUUUGGGUUC
rnacentral:rRNA from 1 species